UACGUAGGGGGCAAGCGUUGUCCGGAAUCAUUGGGCGUAAAGCGCGUGUAGGCGGCUCGGUAAGUCCGCUCUGAAAGCCCGGGGCUCAACCCCGGGAGGCGGGUGGAUACUGCUGAGCUCGAGUCCGGAAGAGGAGUGUGGAAUUCCUGGUGUAGCGGUGAAAUGCGCAGAUAUCAGGAGGAACACCAAUGGCGAAGGCAGCACUCUGGGACGGUACUGACGGCUGAGGCGCGAAAGCGU
rnacentral:rRNA from 1 species